rnacentral:misc_RNA from 1 species
CCUGGUUCGGGCCCCCCCGGGGGCCCUUCUGUGGCGCCGUCCCGCGGCGUCCGCAGUUAAACCCUUUGUGAAAACCCUUGUUGCUUCGGCAGCGCCUCCGCGCCCCGGCGUGGAGGGUCAGCCUGCCGACGGCACCCGGAAAACUCAUUUCGUAAAGAAGUAAAUAGUCUGAUAAGUUAGUCGAAUGACUGUUA